rnacentral:rRNA from 1 species
AACGAACGCUGGCGGCAUGCCUAACACAUGCAAGUCGAACGAGACCUUCGGGUCUAGUGGCGCACGGGGGCGUAACGCGUGGGAACCUGCCCUUAGGUUCGGAAUAACUCCCCGAAAGGGGUGCUAAUACCGGAUAAUGUCUUCGGACCAAAGAUUUAUCGCCUUUGGAUGGGCCCGCGUUGGAUUAGCUAGUUGGUAGGGUAAAAGCCUACCAAGGCGACGAACCAUAGCUGGUCUGAGAGGAUGAUCAGCCACACUGGGACUGAGACACGGCCCAGGCUCCUACGGGAGGCAGCAGUGGGGAAUAUUGCACAAUCGGCGAAUGCCUGAUCCAGCAAUGCCGCGUGAGUGAUGAAGGCCUUAGGGUUGUAAAGCUCUUUUACCCGGGAUGAUAAUGACAGUACCGGGGGAAUAGACUCCGGCUAACUCCGUG